rnacentral:rRNA from 1 species
UACAGAGGGUGCGAGCGUUAAUCGGAAUUACUGGGCGUAAAGCGUGCGUAGACGGUCAUGUAAGUCUGUUGUGAAAGCCCCGGGCUCAACCUGGGAAUGGCAAUGGAUACUGGCGAGCUAGAGUGUGUCAGAGGAUGGUGGAAUUCCCGGUGUAGCGGUGAAAUGCGUAGAGAUCGGGAGGAACAUCAGUGGCGAAGGCGGCCAUCUGGGACAACACUGACGCUGAGGCACGAAAGCGUGGGGAGCAAACAGG